GAAGCAGCCAUCAGGUUCCUAGGGCUCACUGCCCGGCAGCUGGACCAGGGGAGCCAGAACAAGUUGAACGCCAUCUGCAAGAACCUCAAAGGCUUGCAGCAGGACAGCAAGUCCUCAGUCCGAUGCCUGGCUUCUCAGACUAUUUUCAUCCUGGAGGCCUU